UGAGGGAAUAUUUGGGGUCAAUGGGCGGAAGCCUGAACCAGCCAAGUAGCGUGAGGGAAGACUGCCCUAUGGGUUGUAAACCUCUUUUGUUUGGGAGCAAAGUGCGCCACGUGUGGUGUAUUGCGAGUACCAUUCGAAUAAGCAUCGGCUAAUUCCGUGCCAGCAGCCGCGGUAAUACGGAAGAUGCGAGCGUUAUCCGGAUUUAUUGGGUUUAAAGGGAGCGUAGGCGGAGCGUCAAGUCAGCUGUGAAAUGUCGCGGCUCAACCGUGGAGCUGCAGUUGAAACUGGCGUUCUUGAGUAUACAUAAGGAUGGUGAAUUCGUGGUGUAGCGGUGAAAUGCUUAGAUAUCACGAAGAACUCCGAUUGCGAA
rnacentral:rRNA from 1 species